AACGAACGCUGGCGGCAGGCUUAACACAUGCAAGUCGAGCGCCCCGCAAGGGGAGCGGCAGACGGGUGAGUAACGCGUGGGAAUCUACCCUUUUCUACGGAAUAACGCAGGGAAACUUGUGCUAAUACCGUAUGUGCCCUUCGGGGGAAAGAUUUAUCGGGAAAGGAUGAGCCCGCGUUGGAUUAGCUAGUUGGUGGGGUAAAGGCCUACCAAGUCGACGAUCCAUAGCUGGUCUGAGAGGAUGAUCAGCCACAUUGGGACUGAGACACGGCCCAAACUCCUACGGGAGGCAGCAGUGGGGAAUAUUGGACAAUGGGCGCAAGCCUGAUCCAGCCAUGCCGCGUGAGUGAUGAAGGCCCUAGGGUUGUAAAGCUCUUUCACCGGUGAAGAUAAUGACGGUAACCGGAGAAGAAGCCCCGGCUAACUUCGUGCCAGCCGCCGCCGUAAAAC
rnacentral:rRNA from 1 species